rnacentral:rRNA from 1 species
GACGAACGCUGGCGGCGUGCCUAAUACAUGCAAGUCGAACGCUGAAGGAGGAGCUUGCUUCUCUGGAUGAGUUGCGAACGGGUGAGUAACGCGUAGGUAACCUGCCUGGUAGCGGGGGAUAACUAUUGGAAACGAUAGCUAAUACCGCAUAAUAGUAGAUGUUGCAUGACAUUUGCUUAAAAGGUGCAAUUGCAUCACUACCAGAUGGACCUGCGUUGUAUUAGCUAGUUGGUGGGGUAACGGCUCACCAAGGCGACGAUACAUAGCCGACCUGAGAGGGUGAUCGGCCACACUGGGACUGAGACACGGCCCAGACUCCUACGGGGGGCAGCAGUAGGGAAUCUUCGGCAAUGGACGGAAGUCUGACCGAGCAACGCCGGGUGAGGGAAGAAGGGUUUCGGAUCGUAAAGCUCGGUUGUAAGAGAAGAACGAGUGUGAGAGUGGAAAGUUCACACUGUGACGGUAUCUUACCAGAAAGGGACGGCUAACUACGUG